GCCGCAGUGGCCUAGCCUGGUUAGGGCGCGAGACUCAUAACUUCGUGAUAGAGAGAUCAUCCCACCUGCGGCACCA
rnacentral:tRNA from 2 species